GGCAGUCCGGAAAAAGAGGAUGCGGAAAAACCUAGUCCAUCGGCAGUAGAACCAGCGACGGUUACUCCCGUAGAAACGGCUGCACCUGCAGUUUUGAGUUCGUUAAUUAUGGAAAUUUUGACUGGCUGCUCCUGAAGAAAGACAAGCUGCUAGUGGAAAUAGAAAAACAGCUUCCUACACGGAAGAUGCAGAUGCAUUCAACCCGGAGGAUGCAAAAAAACUUUCGAAGCUUUGCACAUGAAGCCGGAACUGCUUCAGGGAGUCUAUGCUAUGGAUUCCAACGCCCCUUCCAAGAUUCAGGAAACGGCUCUACCUACUCUGUUGGCCGAUCCGCCCAGCACAUGAUCGCCCAGUCAGUCAGAAACAAGAAAAACCGCUGCUUUUGCGCUGACAAUGCUCAGUCGAGUCGAUCCGUUAAAAAAACUAUCCGCAGGUGAUUUGCCUUUCCCUUACGUAUGAACUGGCAAAUCAGAAGGGGGUAGCAGCUGCCAAAAUUACAAAGUUAUGUCCGCAAAUCAAAUUUAGUUACCUCAUCCGCGGCGAGGAGAUUGUCAAAGGGGCGAAGCUGAUUAAUCAUAUCAUCAUCGAAACACCCGGUAAGCUGAUGGACUGGAAUAUAAAAUUCAGGCGUUCGACCUUGAGAAAUUGCCGUUUGUGUACUAAACGAAGCGGGCGUUAUGAUCGCUGUUCUUGGCCACGUACGAGCGGGAGGUAAUGGAGUUCGCCGAGUACAUCUUACCCGAUCCGAUCGUGAUUCAGCUAGCGCGGGAGCAAGAAUCACUAGAUAACAUCAAACAGCACUACAAUAAGUACCGCAACCAGGACGAGAAAUAUCAAGCAAUUUCGAUCAUCUUUGGCGUGAUUACCAUCGGAUAUGCGAUCAUUUUCUGUCGUGUGAGUAUAGGACAGUUGUGAUUGGCAUUGUUAAUCGAUGGAAACAGACACGCAAAACGGCCGAUAGGAUGGUCAUUCGGUAGCGGUACUGUCCGGUGAUUUAACGGUGGAGCAAUGGUUUGCCGGUCUGAAUCGAUUCCGAGCCGGACUAAAGAAGGUAUUGAUUACAACGAACGUUUUGUCUUGGGGUAUCGAUGUCGAACAGGUGACCAUUGUAAACUUCAUCCUGUCGAUGGAUCAGUAGAGACGAGCCGAUUGCGAAACGUAUCUGCAUCGAAUUGGACGCACCGGUAAAUUCUGCAUCGCCAUCAACCUGGUGGGCAGUGAUCGAAGCAUGAUGAUUUGCAGAUCAUUCGAAAAACACUUCCAGAAAAAGAUUCAGCUGCUAGACGCGGAGUACUCGGACGUUAUUGAAAAGAUCGGAUCGUAGUGUUUUCGACCAGCUACUGGUGAAAGGCGCUGGAGCUUUUUUGGUUCAUUAUUGUUCCGAUUGUGAAUCUAUAACUUUAUUUAGCUCUAUCAGUUGAUUUCCUUAGGAUUUAAUUCAAGGAUCGGUAACGCGAGGAUUGUGAAGUGCAUGUUUAAUUGUUAUAACUUGGAGUUAAGUGAACCACAGAUAACAGACGUUUAAGCUCGAUUUGAAUCGUGUAUAAAAACCCGCUACUGAAAUUCCGAAUAAAUUAGACGUCUGAAACACGUUUGGCAAACGUUUGCAGAUGACGCAGUGAUCAAUACAAUGCAGUUAGAGUGCAGCUGUUAAACACGUGUAGCAAACAGUUGCGCAGAUGGCAAUAGUGAAACACGGAUUUCCAACGUUUAUCAAUUUGAAAGUUUACACAGGUUUUUGAAGAAAUUUUGUUCUAGCCUAAACGUCUGUUAUCUGUGGGUAAACUCUUGAAGAAAACGACUUUGUUUUUUUUAUUUUGUCGUUGGACGGCCAGUAGAGUAAAGUGGCAAGAAUUUUUCCAAAACACCUUGAAGAAGAAGAUGAAAAAUAUUUUGUUCAAUACCAUGUAAAUAAAUAUUUCAAGAAGAUAGAACAGACAGCUAUAAAACAGCAAAAAAAUCUAAAAGAAAUUAUAUAUGCUUCGAAGCGAUUUUCAUCGUUGGCGCCGUUUCCGUCGUCGUCAUCCUCAGCAAGUUGUUCCUUCUUAACAUCGAGUUCCACCAAUUGCGAUAGAUCGUCCUGUGUCAUCUCCUUUUGAUAGCCCAAGAACGAAUCACUCUUAUCCUGUUCCUGCUCAUGCUCCUUUCCACGAUCCUCGAGUGUAUCGAAACGACCGGCGAUGACAACAAACACUUUACACUUGGUGCACUUCCAUGCAAUUCGCCCUCGCUGAUCAACCGAUACGAUGGGUACCGGUAGCAACUGUGCACGACAAACAGCUGACCCCGCUUGCCCGGAAUCAGUUUGUAAGCAAUCUGUUCGGCUUGUUUUUGCGUCCAACAUCUAACCUUCAAUGAUGGUUUUAUUUUCGCAGUCGUCCUGCGUGAAAAAAUUCAACCCUAAUUAUUUUUCUCACGUGUAAAUUUAAAACGACUUACCCCUCAGGCGCAUGGUUAUGUGCCCAUUUGCUAUUUAUUUAGUUAUUCAUUUACUAAUUUGUAUAUUUUUACAUUUGUUCUUUCAUUGUUGUGGGUGAAUGGAGAACAGUGAGUCUAGUUAUGUAAGGAAUGCAAACUAGGCUCGAUGGAACCUUGCCAGUCCUGGAUAUCACACACAUUUGGAGCAACAUCAGAUGUUUUUCAAGCCGUUCUCAACUCCUAUACGGCAGUUUUCACGCCGCCACCCGCGUAACGGCUUGAUAGUUGAUAUUCGAGCUUGUAGAACCAUUUGGGCGUACCAUAUAUGAGCUCCGACGGAAAUUGAGGAUGAAAUAGAUCUCUUCUAUGAGACAGUCGUCCGACGGUGUCGAAAUGCCGUAAGAGAUGAGCAGCGGUAAACUAGUUAUUCAAGAUGGGAAUGAGACACUUAAUUACCACCAUUGAAAUGAAAUCUGUAAGUAGCACUAACAAACAUCUAAUUUCAGGAACUGCACGAGAUGCUGGGCCUGUGACCUUCGACUGGUAUGGUCCAUUCUCAUUGGUUGUCGAUUCUUUUGACCUUGAGUAUGAGGCUUGUUCAGGGAAGGAGUGCAUGAAUGGCACCUAAGGGAUACUUAAUUAUUCAGGACUUGUUCUUAUGAUUAUUUAACUCGAUCAAGCACACCGGCUCUCAGAAAUGAUAAGCAGCCCUUUCGGGUCGGUGUGGUCUGUUCGAGUCGAACCAGGUGGAUAUUCGGUUCGAGCAUACUUUAUUGGGACUAGUGGACAAAUAUUUCUUGUCCUUUAUGGGCAGAGAUUCUUUUUGUGAAACCCUAAAAUACCUUAUCUCGUCUAGCUACUCAGCAUAAUGAUAAUAGAAAAAAUUGAGGAUUUGCCUGGUCCAUAAUGUAAUGAAUACGUAUACGUAUAUUGACUAGAACAGGGAUAAUCGAAUUCUGUUAUAAGAUAGAGAUGAAAUAGCACAGUUGUAGGAAAAAGUAUUCGCGAAUAAGGACUAAUACUGCUAGUAUAUUUACCGAUUCAAAUAAUAGUCGAUUGAUCCGCUUCGGACCUAGGAGACAAAAAGGAGAUUAGGAAGAGACAGAAUCGGAUUCAAUGUGAAAUUUGCCAAUAUGACGUAGACCCCAAGGCGAUGGUGAGAUGAUUUUCCAUAGGAUUACAGAGACUAGAUGACGCGACGUUAACCGCUUUCAACUUGUGUCUGUAUGAAUCUAAGUUUGUAUGUAUGGAUGUGUAUAGGAGCAAUGUAUCCCUGAGCAACAUGGAAGGACAGCCUCUGAGCCGCCAAAAGGGUCAUGGGAAACCGGGUGCGCGGUCAUAGGUGUAACCAUAAAGCACUGCACACACUGUCAAGUGCAACGGUAGGUGUACGCAGUUAAUGCACAUAGGUUGCAGAAACUGGUUGUUGAGACAGCCUGUGCAAUCGCAUCCUGAUAAAUAAUAAAUAACAAUAACAAUUUAUGUGUUCCUUCAUUAUUUUUUUUAUUUCUGGGAAAAAUUUUCAUUAUGUCGUAACUAACAAUGCUAUUCAUUUUGUUUCCUUGAUGCGAAUAUGUAAUAUAAUAUAUUCUGGUUGCAGUUGAAAAUCGA